AGAGUUUGAUCCUGGCUCAGAUUGAACGCUGGCGGCAUGCCUUACACAUGCAAGUCGAACGGUAACAGGGAGCUUGCUCCGCUGACGAGUGGCGAACGGGUGAGUAAUAUAUCGGAACGUGCCCUGGAGUGGGGGAUAACUAGUCGAAAGAUUAGCUAAUACCGCAUACGAUCUAAGGAUGAAAGUGGGGGAUCGCAAGACCUCAUGCUCGUGGAGCGGCCGAUAUCUGAUUAGCUAGUUGGUAGGGUAAAAGCCUACCAAGGCAUCGAUCAGUAGCUGGUCUGAGAGGACGACCAGCCACACUGGGACUGAGACACGGCCCAGACUCCUACGGGAGGCAGCAGUGGGGAAUUUUGGACAAUGGGCGCAAGCCUGAUCCAGCAAUGCCGCGUGAGUGAAGAAGGCCUUCGGGUUGUAAAGCUCUUUUGUCAGGGAAGAAACGGGUUGACCUAAUACGUUGGCCUAAUGACGGUACCUGAAGAAUAAGCACCGGCUAACUACGUGCCAGCAGCCGCGGUAAUACGUAGGGUGCAAGCGUUAAUCGGAAUUACUGGGCGUAAAGCGUGCGCAGGCGGUUAUGUAAGACAGAUGUGAAAUGCCCGGGCUUAACCUGGGAACUGCAUUUGUGACUGCAUGGCUAGAGUGUGUCAGAGGGGGGUAGAAUUCCACGUAGCAGUGAAAUGCGUAGAUAUGUGGAGGAAUACCGAUGGCGAAGGCAGCCCCCUGGGAUAACACUGACGCUCAUGCACGAAAGCGUGGGGAGCAAACAGGAUUAGAUACCCUAGUAGUCC
rnacentral:rRNA from 1 species